rnacentral:rRNA from 1 species
UACGAAGGGGGCUAGCGUUGUUCGGAAUUACUGGGCGUAAAGCGCGCGCAGGCGGUCUUCCAAGUCAGUGGUGAAAGCCCGGAGCUCAACUCCGGAAUUGCCAUUGAAACUGUUAGACUUGAGGAUGAGAGAGGUGAGUGGAAUUCCCAGUGUAGAGGUGAAAUUCGUAGAUAUUGGGAAGAACACCGGUGGCGAAGGCGGCUCACUGGCUCAUUACUGACGCUCAGGCGCGAUAGCGUGGGGAUCAAACAGG